UAGGGAAUCUUCCGCAAUGGGCGAAAGCCUGACGGAGCAACGCCGCGUGAGUGAUGAAGGUCUUCGGAUCGUAAAACUCUGUUAUUAGGGAAGAACAAAUGUGUAAGUAACUAUGCACGUCUUGACGGUACCUAAUCAGAAAGCCACGGCUAACUACGUGCCAGCAGCCGCGGUAAUACGUAGGUGGCAAGCGUUAUCCGGAAUUAUUGGGCGUAAAGCGCGCGUAGGCGGUUUUUUAAGUCUGAUGUGAAAGCCCACGGCUCAACCGUGGACGGUCAUUGGAACCUGGAAAACUUGAGUGCAGAAGAGGAAAGUGGAAUUCCAUGUGUAGCGGUGAAAUGCGCAGAGAUAUGGAGGAACACCAGUGGCGAAGGCGACUUUCUGGUCUUUAACUGACGCUGAUGUGCGAAAGCGUGGGGAUCAAACAGG
rnacentral:rRNA from 1 species